rnacentral:misc_RNA from 1 species
AGAGUGUCGUCACAGUCUGUCCCAUUU